rfam:Asian citrus Psyllid, Diaphorina citri - Florida Strain, whole genome shotgun sequence.
GCUCCCAUGGCGUAGUGGUCACUGCACUCGCCUUGCACGCGGGAGACCCGGGUUCGAUUCCCGGCGGGGGCA